rnacentral:lncRNA from 1 species
CAUAAAGCGACCCGCCAAUUAAAGAAUGUAAAAAAGGGGCAUCGUUGAAAGUUUAUGACAUCGAUGGCGAGGGAAAAUCCAUGGUUAACAUGCAUAAGGUUUUCAGCAUAAGGUAUUCCGUUUUGAUGGAGGAAGAAAAUGCCCCCGCUAAUGAGUGUGCAACCAUGAAGGUAAUCCAGCCAGAUUCGGUGCCUAUGGUGUCUGACCAGGUCCAUCCUUGAUAACUUGAUUGGGCCUUUUUUGCCCACCUAUCUUCAGUGUUUCUUUCCAUGGAUGGUUUAAGCACUUUUCUUUGAUAGUAUGGAAUAUUAGGGGUGCAAGGCGUGCUUGCACAUGGUAUCUUAAAGAUAUUGUCCUUCACUCCUAUGUUUCUAAUUUUUGAGACUCACACCUCAUUUGAUAGUAAUAAGAAGCGGUGGGAUUCCAUUGGCUUCAAACCCU